rnacentral:misc_RNA from 1 species
GUACCAUUUCAGCCCUCCAUUUUUUCCACUGACAAAACAUCUUAGCAGCUUUCUCUGGGUUCAUUGAUCUUGCAAUCAAGAACCUCAUCAAUGUCUUCUCUCCAUAACUUUCAGUGGAAGAUCCAAGCUUUUCAACUGAUUUCCUCAUUUUAGCCAAUGCAAUUUCUUGAUUUCUGUCCAUUUUCAGUUUUCUUCUCCCCACUCCCAAACUUCAAAAGA